UCUUUUAUAUGGUCAAUACAUAGCAAUAAAGUCAAUACAUAGCAAUAACAUUACUUAUUACACUAUUAUUUUGUUUUUUCCCGUCUUUACCCCUAGUAUUCAUAACCAAUGCAAAGCAAACGUGUUAUAGCGUCGUGUGCUAUACGCAGAUACGUAACCACUCUUUCUCACAAGUGCCAACAGAAAAGCUUACAGCCCACUCUGCCCCUGGACUUUUGCUCCGUGAGCAACAAUGAUGUUUACUCACUGAACAGAAUAUUACACGACCUUGUGAAGUAUGGGUCUUUAACCUCUGCACUCCACCUGUUUGAAGAAAUGCCUAAACGUGAUGUGGUUACAUGGAAUAUUAUGAUUUCUGGAUAUAGUCAUUAUGGGUUUCCAAGAAAAUCAGUGUACUUGUAUAAUAAAAUGGUUUCUCAAGGUAUCAGGGAGAACUCGUCCACUUUUUCCUUUAUAUUGAGCAUAUGUGCUAACGCAGGUUUAUACAAAGAAGGGCUUGAGAUUCUCAGUAGAGUAGUUGUAUUGGGAUUUAGUAUGAACUUAUAUAUUGCCAGUGCACUUGUUAAUAUGUAUAUACAAAUGGGUCUUACAGAUGUUGCUUUCAAAGUGUUUUAUGACUUACCAAAACGAAACUUACCUGUAUGGAACUUGGUUUUACGUGGAAUUUGUGAAGCGGGUAAGCCCAAUGAGUUCUUAAGAUUGUAUAGUGAUAUGAAGUUGGAAAAUGUGGAGCCUAAUGGGCUUACAUUUUGUUAUUUGAUUCGAGGUUGUUGUAUAGAGAGACUUAUUGACAAAGGCAGGGAGAUACAUUCCCUUGUGAUUAAGACGGGGUGGUUAGAAUCAAAUAUCUUUUUAGCUAAUGCAUUGGUGGAUUUUUACUCUGCUUGUGGCAUUUUGGUUGAUACAAAUAAAGCAUUUCAGAGUAUUCCACCUCAGGAUGUUAUUUCAUGGAAUUCAAUGGUUUCUAUUUAUGCUGCCAAUAAUUUGUUGCAUGAAGCUGUUCAAGUCCUAGAAGAGAUGAGAUUGUGGGACAAACAUCCAUCUGCUAUGUCUUUCGUGGCAUUGUUGAAUUUAUCAAGUCGCAGAAAGGAACUACUCUUUGGAAAACAAAUGCACAGUUUUGUUAUGAAAUUGGGCUUUGAUUAUGGAAAUGUCCUCAUUCAGUCGGCUUUGAUUGAUAUGUAUGGGAAAAAUGAUGACAUUGAAAAUUCGGUUUCUGUAUUCCAGAGCAACCCUAUAAGAAGUCUCGAAUGUUGUAAUUCAAUGAUGACAUCUUUGCUGCAUCUUGGUGUCCCCCAAGAUGUGUUUGAGCUGUUCAGUUGGAUGGUUUGUGAAAAUAUUGCGUUUGAUGAAGUGAGUCUGUCCUCAACAAUAAAGGCAUUAUCAUUCUAUUCCUCUCCUAGCUUGGAUAGCUGUGAUUUGUUACAUUGCUGUGCAAUAAAAUCAGGUUUUGAUUUUGAUAUUAUGGUAUUAUGUUCUCUGAUUGAUGCGUAUUCAAGAUCUGGACAGAUUAGGUACUCUCAGAAGAUUUUUGAAGUAUUUCCUUCACCUAAUAUCAUCGGUUUCACUUCAAUAAUUAAUGCAUAUGCUCGGAAAGGAAUGGGAUGUGAAUGCCUUGGAUUGUUUGAAGAAAUGAUCCAAAAGGGUCUAAAACCAGAUGAAGUAACAUUCUUAUGUAUAUUGUUGGGCUGCAACCAUUCAGGCCUAGUUGUAGAGGGGAAAAAGAUUUUUGAUUCAAUGAGACUUCAUGGGGUCUUUCCAGACAGGCGGCACUAUUCAUGUAUGGUGGAUCUUCUGGGCCGUGCAGGUCUAGUUAUUGAGGCAGAAGAGUUGUUAAACCAUGCCUCAUCGGCAGGAGAUUCUGUGAUGUGGAGCUCACUUUUGCGAAGUUGCAGGAUUCAUCAAAAUGAGCAUGUUGGAAGAAGAGCAGCUAAAAAGUUAAUGGAUCUUGAGCCAGAGGAUCCUUCUGUUUGGUUACAGGCCUCUAAUUUUUAUUCUGAAAUUGGGGAGUUCGAGACUGCAAUAUAUAUUCGAGAGGUUGCAGUUGCGAGGAAGAUGAGCAGAGAUAUUGGCUAUAGUUUAAUUCGGGUCCAUGAGUGCCAUUAAAUACACUUGAAUAAAAAGUGUGUAAAAAGGACAUGUGGAUAGCUAAUUGGCUGUUUGAUCUGCAGUACAUUGUGGAUAAGCUUUUUCUUAAAAAAGUGUAUAUCUACCAGAAUGGAUACUUCCUCUGCCUCUAUACUUUUGAAGCAAGCAUGCCAUGCUUCUUGUUAACCAACUCCACUACCAAGUACAAGUUGAAUAAGAAUUUUAUGUCUUAUUUGGUCUCUCCAAUUACUAGACAACCUUUGUCUAGUGCUUCUUUUCCUUUUCCAGAUUUUCAUAUUUGAUGACGAGAUAAAUCUACUGCAUAGAUAAUUUGACUGCCUAAAAGACGGACUUUUGAAGGUCGCGCUGCAACAUGUAUUGCUGUAUGGAUGAAGUCAUCCUGUCAGAGCUUGAGGAUUUGGAUGCAGAAGAAGGUGAUGAAGCAGAGUUUUUUGACCUCCCCAAAUGGGAAACUCAUC